rnacentral:lncRNA from 1 species
GUGUGUAUGUAUUGAUACCAUUAGAACUCAUACAAUGCUUGUUUACAUUGGUUCUUCUAUUUGUUUGUUUACCUAUUGAAUUGCUGUUAAAAGUUACACAUGCAGUUCUUACUUUUCUACUUAUGUUAUUGUAUGAUGCUCAAUUUGACACUUUUCAAGUUUUUACUUUUUCUUAUAGGAUAUAAUUGAAGCUAAUAUAGAGGGUAAAUUAAUGACCACGUUGCCCUUACCUGGAUGGUAUAGGAUAUCACAAUCAUAGUCCUUGAGGAGUUCCAUCCACCUU